GAGUAGCUGGUAUUACAGGCGUGUGCCACAAAGCCUGGCUAAGUUUUGUAUUUUUAGUAGAGACGGGGUUUCACCAUGUUGGCCAGGUUGGUCUCGAACUCCUGACCUCAAGUGAUCCACUCACUUUGGCCUUUCAACGUGCUGGGAUUACAGGCGAGAGUCACCGCACCCGGACGACUCUGACAUUUUUGAAGAGUCCAGAAUCCUGUUACACCUGGGAUUUAGGCACUUUCAAUCUGAAAAAAUACAUAUCCUUUCAGCACUCUGGACGGACUUGAGAACUGUCCUUACGUGACCUAAAGCUGGAGUAUUUUGAGAUUGGAGAAUUAAGGCCAACAGAGAUUUUGAGAAACACAUUGAAGGAUCUGUUAACACUUGAUAUACCCAAUAAAAGCAGUGGUUGUGCCAGUGCUGAUCUGUCUUGAUGUGAAUGUGAACAAUGGGAACCUGAGCUGAGCAGUUAAUGCUAGGGUGACAGAAACUGGACCUCUCCCAAGACAUGUGACAGAGUAAUACAGCAGCCAACUUCUUCGCCAAAUUAAAGUUUUACAAGAUUUAACCUGUCAUCAAGACCUGGGAUUUUGGUGAGCCAGUCUUGGUGCUCUGUGUUCACCUGGUUCAUCUGAGGAGCUGCAUCUACCCUGCCCAUGCCAUAGAUCCUGCCCUGUUUGCUUCUCCUGUUGCUGCUAGUGGACAUGAGGUAACCACAGCCUAGUUCUGUGAUAAGCUCUUCACACCUGUACCCAUAUGGACUGUGGGAGAGUUUCUCUGAUAUGGACUGUGAUGCGGGACAGAAUAACGGGCUCCCAGAUUCACAAGCCCCACCAAGAGGAUCACCCCAGGAACGCUUGGAGGCUGAGGAGUUCACUGAGGCUACUGCAUCUUGAGACUCAGGAUGAAGACCCAGCUUGGGGCUGUCAAAGGUUUUUUGCAUGUCUGACACCCAUGACUCCACCUGGACCUUAUGGCUCCACCCAGAAGCAAUUCAGCCCAACAGGAGGACAGCUUCAACCCAUUACGAUUUCAUCUCUGCCCCAACCACUCAGCAGCAAGCACCUGUUACCUGUCCACCCCCACCCCUUCCCCCAAACUGCCUUUGAAAAAUCCCUAACCUAUGAGCUUUGAAUAAGAUGAGUACGAACUUCAUCGCCCACGUGGCGUGGCCGGCCUCGUGUCUAUUAAAUUCUUUUUCUACUACAA
rnacentral:lncRNA from 1 species